CACGUAGGGUGCGAGCGUUGUCCGGAAUUAUUGGGCGUAAAGAGCUCGUAGGCGGUGUGUCGCGUCGGCCGUGAAAACCUGCAGGCUUAACUGUGGGCUUGCGGUCGAUACGGGCAUCACUGGAGUUCGGCAGGGGAGACUGGAAUUCCUGGUGUAGGCGGUGAAAUGCGCAGAUAUCAGGAGGAACACCGGUGGCGAAGGCGGGUCUCUGGGCCGAUACUGACGCUGAGGAGCGAAAGCGUGGGGAGCGAACAGG
rnacentral:rRNA from 1 species